CAUAUUACCGAGCUCCCCAAAUUCUUCUGGACCUAAUUGAUAAAAGACUAACUCAGUCUCUCCUAAUCAAUCAAAUACAAAGGAAAAUCAACCUGAAAUGAUCUAUAUAUGCUCCCUGGCCAGCACAACUUUCGGCCAACCAGUUUCAAGGUUAUAUCGAUCGAGUAUUCGACCAAACCAGCAAAUGUUCGGAGGAAAGAACACAGCACAAUCACUUCUUCAUCCUUUUCCUGCUUUCUUCUGUCUUUAAGCAAGAAGCGAGUUCAGCGGCAAUUCUUAUCCUAGCCUUAGUUUUCUGUCUUCGACCAUAAUAAUUCUUUGAAAAUGUUUCCCCAUAAGAAAAGACAAAGGGAAAUUCUUUUAUAUCUGGUACGCUAUGUUGUCUUUGUUUUCCUCCACUGAGGCCACACGUUAUGCAGAAUUUAAUUAAAGCAGGCUAACAAGGCUGCUAGGCUUUUUUAGACAUCUUUUGAUAGCUGAUGAAUGUGAUCAACUAAAUUAAAGUUGUUACAGUCAUAUAUAUGAUACAAUAAUUGCACAAUGGAACCUAUUGAGAAAUAUG